GCAGCUUCUUCAACAACCACCACGUCAACUGCGAUGCCUUCAAGUGCAAGAAGUUCGUCCUGCCGUCGCCACCUCUGCCGCCACCGUCUCCUCCUCCGCCAUCGCCACCUCCACCGUCGCCGUCUCCUCCGCCACCUUCGCCUCCGCCACCAUCUCCUCCGCCGCCAUCACCAUCCCCUCCCCCACCGUCGCCUCCUCCACCAUCUCCUCCGCCACCUUCGCCUCCUCCGCCGUCUCCUCCACCCCCAUCGCCAUCCCCUCCUCCUCCUUCUCCGCCCCCACCAUCUCCUCCACCACCAUCCCCAUCCCCUCCUCCUCCUUCUCCCC
rnacentral:lncRNA from 1 species